GCUGGGUUUUGAUGACUAUGUUGAGCCUCUCACUGUGUUCCUCAACCGCUAUCGUGAGAAGGAGAAUGAGCGUAGCUCUAUGCGUGAAACAAUCCUGAAGCGCAGUAACGUUGGAGUUGUGGAUUAUGGAAAUAUUGGGAUGCCUGCUUUUGCUCCAUUUUUCCCCAUGGGACCUCCUCCACCGGGUAUUUUUGAUGGUGCAAUUAUGGGUGGAUACUACAGGAAUGUGUCCGAUCCUGCUGCUGGCCUUGGUGGUGGCUCUUCUGAUUCAAACGGCCCCCUCAACUUUGAUCCAUUUGCUCAGUU
rnacentral:misc_RNA from 1 species